rnacentral:rRNA from 1 species
GACUAACGCUGGCGGCGUGCCUAACACAUGCAAGUCGAACGGGGCCCUGGUUCGCCAGGGUCUAGUGGCAGACGGGUGAGUAACACGUAGGUAAUGUACCCUCUUGCUGGGGAUACCUGUCCGAAAGGAUGGUUAAUACCGAAUGAGCCACGACCGGGGCAUCCUGGUGGUGGCAAACUGGCAACGGGCGAGAGGAUCAGCCUGCGGACCAUCAGCUGGUUGGUGGGGUAACGGCCUACCAAGGCGACGACGGUUAGCCGGUUUGAGAGGACGAUCGGCCACACUGGGACUGAAACACGGCCCAGACUCCUACGGGAGGCAGCAGUGAGGAAUAUUGCACAAUGGGGGAAACCCUGAUGCAGCGACGCCGCGUGAGUGAAGAAGUAUUUCGGUAUGUAAAGCUCUAUCAGCAGGGAAGAAAAUGACGGUACCUGACUAAGAAGCCCCGGUAACUACGUG